UGAGGAAUAUUCCACAAUGGGCGCAAGCCUGAUCCAGCCAUGCCGCGUGCAGGAAGAAGCAUCUAUGGUUUUUAAACUGCUUUUGUACGGGAAGAAACACUCCUACGGGUAGUUACUUGACGGUACCGUAAGAAUAAGGAUCGUCUAACUCCGUGCCAGCAGCCGCGGUAAUACGGAGGAUCCAAGCGUUAUCCGGAAUCAUUGGGUUUAAAGGGUCCGUAGGCGGAUUAAUAAGUCAGUGGUGAAAGACCAUCGCUCAACGAUGGAACGGCACUGGAUACUGUUAGUCUUGAAGUACAGGGAAGUAACUAGAAUAUGUAGUGUAGCGGUGAAAUGCUUAGAUAUUAGAUGGAAUACCGAUUGCGAAGGCAGGUUGCUACUUGUGAGUUGACGCUGAUGGACGAAAGCGUGGGGAGCGAACA
rnacentral:rRNA from 1 species